ACGCUCGACACCUACGGGAGGCAGCAGUGGGGAAUAUUGCACAAUGGGGGAAACCCUGAUGCAGCGACGCCGCGUGAAGGAAGAAGUAUUUCGGUAUGUAAACUUCUAUCAGCAGGGAAGAAGAUGACGGUACCUGACUAAGAAGCCCCGGCUAACUACGUGCCAGCAGCCACGGUAAUCUGAGCGGGCUGGCAAGGC
rnacentral:rRNA from 1 species